rnacentral:rRNA from 1 species
CCUACGGGAGGCAGCAGUGGGGAAUAUUGGACAAUGGGCGAAAGCCUGAUCCAGCGACGCCGCGUGAGGGAAGACGGUUUUCGGAUUGUAAAGCUCUGUCAGUAGGGAAGAAAGAAAUGACGGUACCUGAAUAAGAAGCCCCGGCUAACUACGUGCCAGCAGCCGCGGUAAUACGUAGGGGGCAAGCGUUAUCCGGAAUUACUGGGUGUAAAGGGAGCGUAGGUGGCAAAGUAAGUGCGGCGUGAAAGGCUUGGGCCUAACUCAAGGACUGCACUAGAAACUAUCGAGCUUGAGUGCAGGAGAGGUAAGCGGAAUUCCUAGUGUAGCGGUGAAAUGCGUAGAUAUUAGGAAGAACACCAGUGGCGAAGGCGGCUUACUGGACUGUAACUGACGCUGAGGCUCGAAAGCGUGGGGAGCGAACAGGAUUAGAUACCCUUGUAGUC